UUAAGCGACUAAGCGUACACGGUGGAUGCCCUGGCAGUCAGAGGCGAUGAAGGACGUGCUAAUCUGCGAUAAGCGUCGGUAAGGUGAUAUGAACCGUUAUAACCGGCGAUUUCCGAAUGGGGAAACCCAGUGUGAUUCGUCACACUAUCAUUAACUGAAUCCAUAGGUUAAUGAGGCGAACCGGGGGAACUGAAACAUCUAAGUACCCCGAGGAAAAGAAAUCAACCGAGAUUCCCCCAGUAGCGGCGAGCGAACGGGGAGGAGCCCAGAGCCUGAAUCAGUGUGUGUGUUAGUGGAAGCGUCUGGAAAGGCGCGCGAUACAGGGUGACAGCCCCGUACACAAAAAUGCACAUACUGUGAGCUCGAUGAGUAGGGCGGGACACGUGGUAUCCUGUCUGAAUAUGGGGGGACCAUCCUCCAAGGCUAAAUACUCCUGACUGACCGAUAGUGAACCAGUACCGUGAGGGAAAGGCGAAAAGAACCCCGGCGAGGGGAGUGAAAAAGAACCUGAAACCGUGUACGUACAAGCAGUGGGAGCCUCUUAAUGGGGUGACUGCGUACCUUUUGUAUAAUGGGUCAGCGACUUAUAUUCUGUAGCAAGGUUAACCGAAUAGGGGAGCCGAAGGGAAACCGAGUCUUAACUGGGCGUUAAGUUGCAGGGUAUAGACCCGAAACCCGGUGAUCUAGCCAUGGGCAGGUUGAAGGUUGGGUAACACUAACUGGAGGACCGAACCGACUAAUGUUGAAAAAUUAGCGGAUGACUUGUGGCUGGGGGUGAAAGGCCAAUCAAACCGGGAGAUAGCUGGUUCUCCCCGAAAGCUAUUUAGGUAGCGCCUCGUGAAUUCAUCUCCGGGGGUAGAGCACUGUUUCGGCAAGGGGGUCAUCCCGACUUACCAACCCGAUGCAAACUGCGAAUACCGGAGAAUGUUAUCACGGGAGACACACGGCGGGUGCUAACGUCCGUCGUGAAGAGGGAAACAACCCAGACCGCCAGCUAAGGUCCCAAAGUCAUGGUUAAGUGGGAAACGAUGUGGGAAGGCCCAGACAGCCAGGAUGUUGGCUUAGAAGCAGCCAUCAUUUAAAGAAAGCGUAAUAGCUCACUGGUCGAGUCGGCCUGCGCGGAAGAUGUAACGGGGCUAAACCAUGCACCGAAGCUGCGGCAGCGACACUAUGUGUUGUUGGGUAGGGGAGCGUUCUGUAAGCCUGUGAAGGUGUACUGUGAGGUAUGCUGGAGGUAUCAGAAGUGCGAAUGCUGACAUAAGUAACGAUAAAGCGGGUGAAAAGCCCGCUCGCCGGAAGACCAAGGGUUCCUGUCCAACGUUAAUCGGGGCAGGGUGAGUCGACCCCUAAGGCGAGGCCGAAAGGCGUAGUCGAUGGGAAACAGGUUAAUAUUCCUGUACUUGGUGUUACUGCGAAGGGGGGACGGAGAAGGCUAUGUUGGCCGGGCGACGGUUGUCCCGGUUUAAGCGUGUAGGCUGGUUUUCCAGGCAAAUCCGGAAAACUAAGGCUGAGGCGUGAUGACGAGGCACUACGGUGCUGAAGCAACAAAUGCCCUGCUUCCAGGAAAAGCCUCUAAGCAUCAGGUAACAUCAAAUCGUACCCCAAACCGACACAGGUGGUCAGGUAGAGAAUACCAAGGCGCUUGAGAGAACUCGGGUGAAGGAACUAGGCAAAAUGGUGCCGUAACUUCGGGAGAAGGCACGCUGAUAUGUAGGUGAAGCGACUUGCUCGUGGAGCUGAAAUCAGUCGAAGAUACCAGCUGGCUGCAACUGUUUAUUAAAAACACAGCACUGUGCAAACACGAAAGUGGACGUAUACGGUGUGACGCCUGCCCGGUGCCGGAAGGUUAAUUGAUGGGGUUAGCGGUAACGCGAAGCUCUUGAUCGAAGCCCCGGUAAACGGCGGCCGUAACUAUAACGGUCCUAAGGUAGCGAAAUUCCUUGUCGGGUAAGUUCCGACCUGCACGAAUGGCGUAAUGAUGGCCAGGCUGUCUCCACCCGAGACUCAGUGAAAUUGAACUCGCUGUGAAGAUGCAGUGUACCCGCGGCAAGACGGAAAGACCCCGUGAACCUUUACUAUAGCUUGACACUGAACAUUGAGCCUUGAUGUGUAGGAUAGGUGGGAGGCUUUGAAGUGUGGACGCCAGUCUGCAUGGAGCCGGCCUUGAAAUACCACCCUUUAAUGUUUGAUGUUCUAACGUUGGCCCCUGAUCGGGGUUGCGGACAGUGUCUGGUGGGUAGUUUGACUGGGGCGGUCUCCUCCUAAAGAGUAACGGAGGAGCACGAAGGUUGGCUAAUCCUGGUCGGACAUCAGGAGGUUAGUGCAAUGGCAUAAGCCAGCUUGACUGCGAGCGUGACGGCGCGAGCAGGUGCGAAAGCAGGUCAUAGUGAUCCGGUGGUUCUGAAUGGAAGGGCCAUCGCUCAACGGAUAAAAGGUACUCCGGGGAUAACAGGCUGAUACCGCCCAAGAGUUCAUAUCGACGGCGGUGUUUGGCACCUCGAUGUCGGCUCAUCACAUCCUGGGGCUGAAGUAGGUCCCAAGGGUAUGGCUGUUCGCCAUUUAAAGUGGUACGCGAGCUGGGUUUAGAACGUCGUGAGACAGUUCGGUCCCUAUCUGCCGUGGGCGCUGGAGAACUGAGGGGGGCUGCUCCUAGUACGAGAGGACCGGAGUGGACGCAUCACUGGUGUUCGGGUUGUCAUGCCAAUGGCACUGCCCGGUAGCUAAAUGCGGAAGAGAUAAGUGCUGAAAGCAUCUAAGCACGAAACUUGCCCCGAGAUGAGUUCUCCCUGACUCCUUGAGAGUCCUGAAGGAACGUUGAAGACGACGACGUUGAUAGGCCGGGUGUGUAAGCGCAGCGAUGCGUUGAGCUAACCGGUACUAAUGAACCGUGAGGCUUAACCUU
rnacentral:rRNA from 1 species